UACCGUGUAGCUCAGUUGGUAGAGCGUCGAUCUAGUAAUUCGAAUUAGGUCGCGGGUUCAAGACCCAGCCGCGGCAG
rnacentral:tRNA from 1 species